rnacentral:sRNA from 1 species
GUCAUUCCAGAUCACGCGCCGUUUAGGAGGCAACCAUGUUUAUCGAUACUGUAGUUAUUGCUGGUAUUGGCACUGUACUGCUGAUGUUCGCCUUCUUUGGUGGGGUCGGCAUGUUUAUUUGGAAGGACUCGCACAAGCGCAAGUAAGGCUGAGUCUUUCAACACGACUGCACGCAAGGCAGCUUCAGGCGACUUAGGUCGCCUUUUUUUUUG